rnacentral:rRNA from 1 species
AGAGUUUGAUCCUGGCUCAGAACGAACGCUGGCGGCGUGCCUAACACAUGCAAGUCGCGCGAGAACAGGGGGGCAACUCCCUUAGUAAAGCGGCGCACGGGUGAGUAACACGUAGGUGAUCUACCUCCGAGCCUGGGAUAACCUACCGAAAGGUGGGCUAAUACCGGAUAUGACCACGGGCAUCUCGGUGCCUGCGGUGAAAGGUGGCCUCUGCUUGCACGCUACCACUCAGAGAUGAGCCUGCGCGCCAUUAGCUUGUUGGCGGGGUAACGGCCCACCAAGGCGAUGAUGGCUAGCUGGUCUGAGAGGAUGACCAGCCACACUGGGACUGGAACACGGCCCAGACUCCUACGGGAGGCAGCAGUGGGGGAUAUUGCGCAAUGGGCGAAAGCCUGACGCAGCGACGCCGCGUGGGUGAUGAAGGCCUUCGGGUCGUAAAGCCCUGUCGAGGGGAACGAAACGGUUCCGACCUAACACGUCGGGGCCCUGACGGUACCCCUAAAGGAAGCACCGGCUAACUCCGUGCCAGCAGCCGCGGUAAUACGGAGGGUGCAAGCGUUGUUCGGAAUCACUGGGCGUAAAGGGCGAGUAGGCGGUCCGCUAAGUCUGAUGUGAAAGCCCGGGGCUCACCCCCGGAAGGGCAUUGGAAACUGACGGACUCGAGUCCCGGAGAGGAAGGUGGAAUUCCUGGUGUAGCGGUGAAAUGCGUAGAUAUCAGGAGGAACAUCGGAGGCGAAGGCGGCCUUCUGGACGGUGACUGACGCUGAUCCGCGAAAGCGUGGGGAGCAAACAGGAUUAGAUACCCUAGUAGUCC